rnacentral:pre_miRNA from 1 species
CAUAUACUCUCUCCGUCCGAAAAUACUUGUCGUAGAAAUGGAUACAAAUGGAUGUAUCUAUAACUAAAAUACAUCUAGAUACAUCCAUUCCUCGGACAAGUAUUUCCGGACGGAGUGAGUAUAAG